rnacentral:rRNA from 1 species
GACAGAGGUGGCAAGCGUUGCUCGGAGUUACUGGGCUUAAAGGGCGCGUAGGCGGUUACGCACGUCGGGGGUGAAAUCCCCGGGCUCAACCCGGGAACUGCCUUCGAUACGACGUGACUUGAGUGCGGGAGGGGAGAGUGGAACUCCUGGUGGAGCGGUGAAAUGCGUAGAUAUCAGGAGGAACGCCGGUGGCGAAAGCGACUCUCUGGUCCGCAACUGACGCUGAGGCGCGAAAGCCAGGGGAGCAAACGGG